rnacentral:rRNA from 1 species
GAUGAACGCUGGCGGCGUGCCUAAUACAUGCAAGUCGAACGAGGUGCCUUUGCAGCAAUACGAGGGUAUCCUAGUGGCGAACGGGUGAGUAACGCGUUGGUGACCUGCCCCGAAGUGUGGGAUAACAGUCCGAAAGGACUGCUAAUACGGCAUGCGGUCAUCGGAUUUAGAAACCAAUGUCCAAAGCAGCAAUGCGCUUUGGGAGGGACCUGCGUCCCAUCAGCUAGUUGGUAGGGUAAAGGCCUACCAAGGCGACGACGGGUAGGGGACCUGAGAGGGUGACCCCCCACAAUGGAACUGAAAUACGGUCCAUACACCUACGGGUGGCAGCAGUAGGGAAUAUUGCACAAUGGGCGAAAGCCUGAUGCAGCAACGCCGCGUGCACGAUGAAGGUCUUCGGAUCGUAAAGUGCUUUUCUGGGAGAUGAGAAAGGACAGUAUCCCAGGAAUAAGUCUCGGCUAACUACGUGCCAGCCGCCGCGGUAAUAC